UACGGAGGGGCUAGCGUUGUUCGGAAUUACUGGGCGUAAAGCGCACGUAGGCGGCUUGUAAGUUAGAGGUGAAAGCCCGGGGCUCAACUCCGGAAUUGCCUUUAAGACUGCAUCGCUAGAAUUGUGGAGAGGUAAGUGGAAUUCCGAGUGUAGAGGUGAAAUUCGUAGAUAUUCGGAAGAACACCAGUGGCGAAGGCGACUUACUGGACACAUAUUGACGCUGAGGUGCGAAAGC
rnacentral:rRNA from 1 species